UUUUUUCUUUUUUUUUUUUGAGACAGAGUCUCGCUCUGUCUCCCAGGCUGGAGUGCAGUGGCCAGAUCUCGGCUCACUGCAAGCUCCACCUCCCGGGUUCACGCCAUUCUCCUGCCUCAGCCUCCUGAGUAGCUGGGACUACAGGCGCCCGCCACCUCGCCCGGCUAAUUUUUUGUAUUUUUAGUAGAGACGGGGUUUCACCGUGUUAGCCAGGAUGGUCUCGAUCUCCUGACCUCGUGAUCCGCCCGCCUCGGCCUCCCAAAGUGCUGGGAUAUCAGGCAUGAGCCACUGCACCUGGCCGAAAGCACUCUUUUCUAUAGACCUGUUGUUGAGGGGAUCAUGCACAUGUUUCUUUCCUUCUGGUCUUAGCUUCAUCAUCUAUCAGAUGGGAGGUUGGACCAAGCAGCCUCUGAGAGCUUCCUGCUCAGACCCAGGAGGCAAGAGGCAGGAUUCUGGGCAUCGGUGUUGGUCUCAGUGGAAAGACAUCCUCACUGGGCACCCAGCGUUCUACCAGGGGACUCCAUGUGCCUCUUGCCUACAGUGGUGAGGGCCCACCUACCCAGGAAAGUGUAAAGCUGUGGCCAGGGGUGUGUGGGGUGUGUGUGUGUGUGUGUGUGUGUGUGUGUGUGUGUCAGGUGAGGGAGGGUAGUUCCUGGAAGCUCCAGCUCCUGUUGUCCUGGUGAUCCCAAGACCCCUGUGGGGCAGCCUGACUCUGCCAGCCAGGUUCCAUAACUGCAGUGGGUACCCCGUGUUUGUUGGUUUGAUGGAGGAACUUUGAGCACUGCAGGGUGCCUGGCUCUGGGUGGGGGUGGGAAACAGACAACCCAUCUUCCUGCCGAGACGCCAAGGAGCAAGUCUGCAAGGCUGACUGAUGUGCGGGGUUGUGAGUCAUUCUGCCUAAAGUGAUCUGGGCGCCCCCAGCAUUGCCCCAGAGCUCAAAGGAUGACAGUUCCCACAGGAAGCCAUUCCAGGGAAGAGAAUGCUAGGGAGAGGGGAGAGCAUGGGCAAAGGUGUGGAGGUGGGACAUUCCUACAUCGUGGCAGGUACAGCGAAGAGGGUUAGCAAGAAAAGCCAGAGAGUUGUGUAAGGUAGAAUGACCUUGGGUACCAGGGUGAGGAGUCCCUUCUUUCUGAGGGUGUUGAGGGCAUUAGAAGCACUCGGGCUCAGGGUCCUGACUGUGCCUGGCACUGCCCAUCUCCCACUUCUACCACUUUCCCUAGGAGAGGUUGCUGAACCCAGGGGUCUGCCUCUGGCUAAGGUUUGCAUCCCGAGACUAAGUCCUGAGUACCUCCUAUGUGUUGGCCCCUUGGCUGGGUGUUGGGACCCAUGGGACUCAGGGCUGAAGGAGCCAUGGACUCCGUCCAGACACACUAGACCCUCAUUCUUGCUCUAGUGCUCAGUAGCCCUGUGACCUUGGGCUGGUGACUGCACCCUGAGCCUAGCUUCUGCUCUAGUCAUUGGCAGCUUGGCUGAGUGUAGCAGGUAGGACAUAGGUUAUGGGUGACAGCCUCCCAGAGGGAGGUGGCAUGUGCUGUCACAGAGCACAGGAGGGUGCUCCAGGUGGGUGGUGCGAAGGGGUGAGAGAUGAAGGCACACAGGAAAGCAUGGGAAGAAUUUUCCUAGCAAAACCUCCAGAAAGAGUGGUUAUCCCUUGAGUGUGACUAGAGAGAUUGUGGAGGAGGAGGUCCAAGGAAAGUUCUAAGUAGGAAGCACCGUGCGGGAAGAGCAAGGGCCUUAAGAGACGGAUGGCGCCAGGCUGAGGAUAAGCCAUGUGGGAAGGGAGCUUUUCUGGAAGAGGCGCCUGGGGCUGGAUGGUCUGGACCUGGUGUCAAUGCCUGCCCCAGGCCUUUCUGGAGGUCAGCGGGCCUGAACCAGUCUCAGGAUGGCUUUGCCUUCUUGGCCAUGGGCCAAGGCUCAGGAUGGAGCCUGUGCUUUUGUGGACUCCUGUCCAUGUGACUGUGUGGAGGGAAUGACCUGGAAAGCACACAGAGCCCCAGCAUCCUGUUCUGCCUUCUGGAAAGUCUGCUCCUUGUGUGAACCCCACGUCACCUGGCCUGUGUGUGUGCACACAUCCCCUGCUCAAUGUGUACCUGGGGUGGGUCUGGGAGUGUACACAUUGGAGAAUCUGCAUGAAUAUAAACAUGCAAGUGUGUUUGUCUGGGCAUUCCUGUCUCAUUCCACACCCCUGUGUGUUCACACCUACCAGGGAAACCUCUGCCCUGUCCUUUUUUUCCCUUGUGAGUCAACAGGUCUUUCCCAGGCACCCCCCACGCACCAGGCUCCAUGCAGGGUGCUGGGAGGUGGAGAGGCAGCCAGCUUAGGCGUGGGCGUUAGGAGUUCUGCAGACACACACAUACACACACACUCACACACGCACACAUACUGCAAAUGAGAGCGUUGAUAGGAGACUCAGAUCUAGUUAUUGCUAUAGGAGCCAAAAGGGAGGCAAGAGCUGGAGGUAGAGGGGGUCACCCAGCACCUCCUCCAGGGACUGCAGGAUGGACCAGGCUGGGGAAGGGUAGUAGGAAGAGAGUCCUCUGUUGGGGGCCACCUCUGGAGCAAUGGCAAAGAGGCAGCUGGUGCCACACUGUUGUGGGGGAACCAGUGAGGAAAGUGGCCAUGUUGGCAGGUUGGACAGACUCAGGAGGUUUUAUGUAGGUGUGCUCAGGCCGUGGCUAAAAGUUUUCAAUGAGCUGUCACCAUUUAAGAAUCAGAAUACUUCAUAGUUUGAAAAACCCAGAUUAUCAGCCUCUGUUGAACCAUGGAAG
rnacentral:lncRNA from 1 species